rnacentral:rRNA from 1 species
UACGAAGGGUGCAAACGUUGCUCGGAAUUAUUGGGCGUAAAGCGCACGUAGGCGGCUUUGCAAGUCGGAUGUGAAAGCCCUCGGCUCAACCAAGGAAGUGCAUCCGAAACUGCAGAGCUUGAGUACUUAAGAGGAUCGCGGAAUUCCCGGUGUAGAGGUGAAAUUCGUAGAUAUCGGGAGGAACACCGGUGGCGAAGGCGGGUCUCUGGGCCGUAACUGACGCUGAGGAGCGAAAGCGUGGGGAGCGAACAGG